UACAGAGGGGGCAAGCGUUGUUCGGAAUUACUGGGCGUAAAGGGCGCGUAGGCGGCCUGCUAAGUCGAACGUGAAAUCCCCGAGCUCAACCCGGGAACUGCGUCCGAUACUGGAUGGCUUGAAUUCGGGAGAGGGAUGCAGAAUUCCAGGUGUAGCGGUGAAAUGCGUAGAUAUCUGGAGGAAUACCGGUGGCGAAGGCGGCAUCCUGGACCGACAUUGACGCUGAGGAGCGAAAGCCAGGGGAGCAAACGGG
rnacentral:rRNA from 1 species